rnacentral:rRNA from 1 species
UGGGGAAUAUUGCACAAUGGGCGCAAGCCUGAUGCAGCCAUGCCGCGUGUAUGAAGAAGGCCUUCGGGUUGUAAAGUACUUUCAGCGGGGAGGAAGGGAGUAAAGUUAAUACCUUUGCUCAUUGACGUUACCCGCAGAAGAAGCACCGGCUAACUCCGUGCCAGCAGCCGCGGUAAUACGGAGGGUGCAAGCGUUAAUCGGAAUUACUGGGCGUAAAGCGCACGCAGGCGGUUUGUUAAGUCAGAUGUGAAAUCCCCGGGCUCAACCUGGGAACUGGAUCUGAUACUGGCAAGCUUGAGUCUCGUAGAGGGGGGUAGAAUUCCAGGUGUAGCGGUGAAAUGCGUAGAGAUCUGGAGGAAUACCGGUGGCGAAGGCGGCCCCCUGGACAAAGACUGACGCUCAGGUGCGAAAGCGUGGGGAGCAAACAGG